UCNGAUGUCCCUACUAACUUGAUGGCGAUGA
rnacentral:piRNA from 1 species